ensembl:snRNA U6 U6 spliceosomal RNA
GUGCUCAUUUCAGCAGCACAUAUACUAAAGUUGGAAUGCUUCAGAGAUUAGCAUGGCUCCUGCACAAGGAUGAUACACAAAUUUGUGAAACAUUACACAUUUUU